GUCGUAACAAGGUUUCCGUAGGUGAACCUGCGGAAGGAUCAUUCGCACAUGAUUUAACACAAUUCCAUCGAUUUAUUUCGUAUGGUCUGCCUGGGGAUGCUCAGUCGGUGCCUCUUGCUGACACUAAUGGGUGGUGGGCUGGACAUGAUGCAUUGCAAGCUUGUCCGCUCCCAUCGUUGACUUCUUGCAUACAAGUUUAUGCUGUAUCUUUUUCAGAUAUAUAUUUGGGAGUUUACAAUUUUCAGCGAUGAAUGUCUCGGUUCGAGCAGCGAUGAAGGGUGCACCGAAGUGCGAUAAGCAUUGUGAAUUGCAGAUUUCCGUGAGCCGAUAGGGACUUGAACACAUAUUGUGCUUUUGGGAUAUCCCUAAAAGCAUAUGUACUCCAGUGCCUCUUUAUAUUGAUCCUAAACAUAUUUUUUGUUGUUAAACUAUUUUUAUGGCUUGCUAUUCCUCACAUUCUGUUGACAUUCGUGUGCAUAUAUUUUUGAGGGUCUGUGAUCGACAAGACCGCUGUGUGUCGAUCAGCUUGCAAAUACUUUUGUGAAUGAAGCUGAUUGUGCUCGCGGCAUUGUGGGUCUUGCUGUCGCGAUUGUGUUGCAACACGAAUUUUGUCAUGAAGUUAGACUUGCAAACUCGCUGAAUUUAAGCAUAUAAGUAAGCGGAGGAUAAUAAACUAAAUAUGAUUGCCCCAGUAAUUGCGAAUGAGCAGGGAUAAGCUCAAAAUUAAAAUUGUUGCUUCUGGCUUUGAAUUGUAAUGUCAAGAUAUAUUGCUAACGGGGGCUCAAAUUUAAGCCGCUUGAAAAGGCGAACACUUGAGGGUGAGAGUCCUGUUUGUCAUUUGUAGACCUCCGUGCACGGCAUGUUUUCUAUGAGUCACGUUCCUCGGGAUUGGAGCGCAAAUUCGUUGGUAAAUUUCAACUUAAGUUAAAUAUUGGUUCGAAACCGAUAGUAUAUAAGUACCAUGAGGGAAAGAUGAGAAGGACUUUGAAAAGAGAGUUAAAAGUGCCUGCACUUGCUGAAAGGAAAGCGGAUGAAAUUAGUUUUGCAUCGUGAGAUUGUCUUGUGCUAUGGAGAUGACCUGCUGCAUCAAUGUGUAUAAUGUUGUGGGAUCUGAUCUGGAUGCAUGUGAUGCUUCUUGCCUUGUAUGUCGCCGUCUGUUCGUGGGUGAGCAUAACUCUUGGAGCAUGGUAGCUCGGCUCCGGCUGCUCGAAUGCUUCUUGUAGGAACCACUUUUGAACAUGAUAAGAAUUGUGGGGUUGUGUUGGCUAAAACUUACAUUAUUGUGCACAAGUGUGCUAUUUUGUGGGGGGUGAGUCAUCUUCCUGACAUUAUAAAUGGUGACGAUAUUGUUUCAUUUGACCCGUCUUGAAACACGGACCAAGGAGUCUAACACAUGUGCAAAUUCAUGGGUGGUAAAACUUGUGGGUUCAAUGAAAGUAAUUAUUGAGAUGCUUGCAUUAGUAGCCGACUGAUUACUUGGGAGAGGUUUGAGCAUUAGCAUAAUCGUUAGGACCCGAAAGAUGGUGAACUAUGCGUGA
rnacentral:rRNA from 1 species